rnacentral:rRNA from 1 species
GACAGAGGUGCCAAGCGUUAGGCGGAAUCACUGGGCUUAAAGCGUGUGUAGGUGGAAGCGUAAGUACCUUGUGAAAUCCCACGGCCUAACCGUGGAACUGCUUGGUAGACUGCAGCGCUUGAGGUUGGUAGGGGCUGCCGGAACUCUAGGUGGAGCGGUGAAAUGCGUAGAUAUCUAGAGGAACGCCCAAGGCGAAGGCAGGCAGCUGGGCCAAUUCUGACGCUGAGGCACGAAAGCGUGGGGAGCAAACAGG